rnacentral:lncRNA from 1 species
AAAGAGGACAGGGAGAUCUCAUGGGUGUGUCCUGGAGGGAGGAGUAAGGAAUGAAUUCCUGAUUUAAGGAGCAGAGCAGAGGAGCAGCUGCCCAGGCACUCAAGGACCAGACUAAUCUUGAGAGCUGAUCUUAUCACUGAGAUUCCUUCUCAACAUCAUACAAGUGACUGGGGCCCUCCACCAAGAGGGCUUCCUCCCUGGACCAAGCUCACCAGAGGAAAGACAACAA